ensembl:snoRNA LOC120095757 small nucleolar RNA SNORA17
CCUGUCCCUAGAGGCAUCGCAGGUGCAGUUAUUCUGUCACAUGUGUGUCAGUAGGCAACAGAGAGGAAAAAGGCUUCACCUAUGUUUAGUGUUCCCACCUAUGAACGCCUAACUCCCCGGCAAACGUGAGCCUGACUAC